rnacentral:rRNA from 1 species
CCCUUAGACGUUCUGGGCCGCACGCGCGCUACACUGACCAGUGCAACAAGCAUCCGUCCUUGGCCGACAGGCCCGGGCAAUCUUUGAACGCUGGUCGUGAUGGGGAUAGACUUUUGCAAUUUUUGGUCUUCAACGAGGAAUUCCUAGUAAACGCAAGUCAUCGACUUGCAUUGAUUACGUCCCUGCCCUUUGUACACACCGCCCGUCGCACCUACCGAUUGAAUGGUCCGGUGAAAUCUCGGGACGGCGGCUUGGUCGCUUGCGUCCGACUGCUGAAACUUGAUUAAACCAUAUCAUUUAGAGGAAGGUGAAGUCGUAACA